AGUGAACGCUGGCGGUAGGCCUAACACAUGCCAGUCGAACGGCAGCACAGUAAGAGCUUGCUCUUACGGGUGGCGAGUGGCGGACGGGUGAGGAAUACAUCGGAAUCUACUUUUUCGUGGGGGAUAACGUAGGGAAACUUACGCUAAUACCGCAUACGACCUACGGGUGAAAGCAGGGGAUCUUCGGACCUUGCGCGAUUGAAUGAGCCGAUGUCGGAUUAGCUAGUUGGCGGGGUAAAGGCCCACCAAGGCGACGAUCCGUAGCUGGUCUGAGAGGAUGAUCAGCCACACUGGAACUGAGACACGGUCCAGACUCCUACGGGAGGCAGCAGUGGGGAAUAUUGGACAAUGGGCGCAAGCCUGAUCCAGCCAUACCGCGUGGGUGAAGAAGGCCUUCGGGUUGUAAAGCCCUUUUGUUGGGAAAGAAAAGCAGCAGGUUAAUACCUCGCUGUUCUGACGGUACCCAAAGAAUAAGCACCGGCUAACUUCGUG
rnacentral:rRNA from 1 species